rnacentral:misc_RNA from 1 species
CCGAGUGAGGGCUUCCGGCCCGACCUCCAACCCUUUGUUAUCAAAACCACUGUUGCCUCGGGGGCGACCCGGGCCCGUCGGCUUGGGGCCCCCGGUGGACAAUUCCAAAACACUGCAUCUUUGCGUCAGGUUUAAAAGUUUAAUUGAUUA